CAAGUGGGUCGGGCGGUCGCUGGUAAAUUUAUUUACCAGAGGAAAGUCCGAGCAGGAUAGGGCACGGUGGUGGCUAAUGACCACCCGGGGUAACUCGAGGGACAGUGCAACAGAAAACACACAGCCGAUGAGCCUGACUUGUCAGGAAACAGGCAAUGGUGAAAUGGUGCGGUAAGAGCGCACCGCGGUGUUGGUGACAGCACCGGCAGGGUAAACCCCACCGCCUGCAAAACCAAAUAAGCUGUUGUCCGCGGCCCGGACUAUAACAGCGGGUAGGUUGCUUGUCGAUUAAUCGGCAGAGCCAACUGGUAACAGAUGGUCUAGUCAAAUGACCGCCACCAGUGAACACUGGGACAGAACUCGGCUUACAGACCCACUUUUUUC
rnacentral:RNase_P_RNA from 1 species